rnacentral:tRNA from 1 species
GGCGGGUUACCCGAGCGGCCAAAGGGGGCUGACUGUAAAUCAGCUGGUUUCACCUUCGGGGGUUCAAAUCCCUCACCCGCCA